GGCUCCUCUGCCCUCACAGAUACCGCAGGAUUUCUUCUUUUAUAGUUGGUCCUACCUCGCCUUGUGCCUGGAACGUGUGUGUCACUAGGAAGGCCCCACUGGUAGCCUCUGACAGCAGCUCCUCUGGGGGAUCUGACAGUGAAGAUGACGAGAAGGCAGCGGGUGCUGUGGAAGCUCUGUGCGCAGGCCAUACUGGAAAGGCCUCCCCGCCACCCAGGACAGCAGAGGCUGCUGCUGGCAGGUGCGAAGGGAAUGCCAAGUUUUCCUGGGGGCCCUGUGAACACCGUGUGGCUUCUGAGGGCUACAAGUCACUAGCUUUGUAGCCACUGAGAACAGGGCCCAGUGGCCAGAUGUCAGCUCCCUGAAAACAGGUGGAGGCCAGACUGGAACUCCUUGCUGCUGCACCAUGGCUAAUGAUCCUGUGAGGCUGUCUCUAGAAAAGACAGUGCCUCUUUACCAAGGGGAAGGCUCAACUGGAGGGCUGGACUUGUAUUUUCUGUUUUAAAUGAUUAAGAGUAGAAGAUAGAACUUGGGUGUCCCAAGAGCUCCCCAGGAACUUGGGAGGACAGUCUCCACUAGAGGCCAGUUUCAUAGAAUACCUGGUUUCCAGGCUCUGGGACUGGCUAACUCUAGGGUUGUCUCAGAUAGUGGGAGAAAAGUGGCCCAUCACCCUUAACUUUGUAUAGGGCAAGCAUAUGGCUCUGGCUAGCCCUUUCCUGUUGCCCUUCUUGUGCCGGGCCCUUUAUGGUCGGGUACUUGUUGAUUCCAGUCAGGUGCCCUGCAUGCUCACACAGUAGGACGAAGCACACCUCAGGGUUGGGGACUGGGUCUGUAGUCCAAGACCUGGCUGGGAAGUAGAAGCAACUCACAGGUGGACAAGCCAGAGUCCUCCUGAGGUGUCGUCUGAAGGCCUUCCUUCCCUAGGGAAGGAACCAGGAAUGUCACUAUCCCCCUGCAAAGAGGCCAGCCACUCCAGCAAGCGUUUCUAUUUUGAGUGGUCAAGAUGAGAAGAUACAGGACCGAGGUGUCGAGGAGCUACCCAGUGACUCUCACAUAACUAAGCCCAUGUUCACCAGGGAGUUCACAGCCCUGACAUUCAGGUGCAGAGAGCAGGUGGGGGGGCUCAGGAGCAUAAGGCGUAGCCUGUGGAUACAGGAUACUGGAAAUGGCUUGCAGCCCGUACAAACGCUCUGAGGCUCCACAUAAGUUCAGGGUGCAAUAGAAGUCUCAGGGCUGGACCCUACCAGGAGACAAGGUACUAAUUACACUAUGCUCUUGACCAUAGAACCAUGUGAGUUUAUUUUGUUUUGGAUUUUGCAUCCAUCUUGAAUGAAUGUCAUCUGUGGGCUUUCUGGUCUUGUCCCUUCCAAGUCUGGGAUGUACCUAACACCAGGCUGAUCGUGACACAAGUGGGCACCAGCCAGACUGCCUAGCACAAGUUCA
rnacentral:lncRNA from 1 species